GACGAACGCUUGCGACGUGCCUAAGAAAUGCAAGUCGAACGGGGGAGCAAUCCCUAGUGGCGAACGGUCGCGUAACACGUGGGCAACCUGCCCUGAAGCGGGGGACAACAAGUCGAAAGAUUUGCUAAUACCGCAUGUGUCUCGCUGUGGCAUCACAGAGGAGACAAAGCCGCAAGGCACUUCAGGAUGGGCCCGCGGCCUAUCAGCUUGUUGGUGAGGUAACGGCCCACCAAGGCUUCGACGGGUAGCUGGUCUGAGAGGACGAUCAGCCGGAUUGGGACUGAGAUACGGCCCAGACUCCUACGGGGGGCAGGCAAUUAGGAAUCUUGCACAAUGGGCGAAAGCCUGAUGCAGCGACGUCGCGUGAAGGAUGAAAUC
rnacentral:rRNA from 1 species